UACGUAGGUGGCGAGCGUUGUCCGGAAUUACUGGGCGUAAAGGGCGCGUAGGCGGAUAUUUAAGUCAGAUGUGAAAACUCCGGGCUCAACUUGGAGAUUGCAUUUGAAACUGGGUAUCUUGAGGACAGGAGAGGAAAGCGGAAUUCCUAGUGUAGCGGUGAAAUGCGUAGAUAUUAGGAGGAACACCAGUGGCGAAGGCGGCUUUCUGGACUGUAACUGACGCUGAGGCGCGAAAGCGUGGGGAGCAAACGGGAUUAGAUACCCCUGUAGUCCCUGA
rnacentral:rRNA from 1 species